GCCAGUGUGGCCUAGUGGUUUGAGCACUGAACUAUGACCCUGUGGAGGCCAGGGUUCAAAUCCCUGGUCUAGCA